rnacentral:tRNA from 1 species
AAGGGCUUAGGAUAAAUACAUAGACCAAGAGCCUUCAAAGCUCUAAGCAGAAGUGAAAACCUUCUAGCCCUUGA